rnacentral:tRNA from 2 species
AGCUUUAUAGUCAAAAUAUGAUAUUAGACUGCAAUUCUAAAGUAGAUAAUUAUAUCUAAAGCUU